GUGGGGGGGGGGGCGAGAGAGGGAAGAAAGGACGGGGAGAGAGAGGGAGAUAGGGGAAGAGGGAGGGGGCAGAGUGAGGGAAAGAGAGGGGAGAGACCCCCGGUUCCCAAAGGCGAUUGGUCGCCGGAGGAGGCCCGGGCGGGAGGAGCGGGUCCCGCCGCGAGGCCUGCAGGAAUCGCUGGCUCCGGCUGCCACCUAGCGGACGGGAGCCGCGUCCCGGAGACGCGCGGUCGGGUCCCCUCCUCCUCCCCGCCUCCUCCUCCCGGCACGCAGCCCUGUGCCUUUUCUGCAAACCAAGACACAGCACUUUGAAAAUUCUUUCAAUGGAUUUUUUUUUUCCCUCCUCCUUCUUCCUUGAAAGAUCGUACUGAGGGAAAAUGAUACUUCUAUUAGUUACAUAUUCUCCAAUCGCACACUCGCAUCUUUCCCCCCCCACCCCACCACCUCCUCGUUCUGCGAUCGCUCCCCUAGGCAGGCUCAGGCGGGCGCGCAGCGGCGCCGAGUGACAAAGCCGCCGCCCGCAGCCGCCGGGGGGUGCGGAGCUGCGCGCCUGCCCGCCGCCCCUCGACUCUGGAGAGCGUCAAAGUUGUCUCAGCUCCAGCACCCCCGAGCCUCCACACGCCCUCAGGUGAAGGUGGAAGUAAAAAAAAAGGCCACGCUGUUAUUGCCGGAGGUAGGGUUUGUGUGUUUUAAUACUCGUUCUCCCUUUAAAUGUCAUCAGGGAGGGGGUUUGGGGGAAGCGCUGCGCCUUCGGGGUGCGUUUUGCGCUUCCCGGUCUCUCUCCAGUCCUACUGAGAGUCAGGAACCCGGCGACCGCUUAGUGUCGAGCGACGAUGCGAAAGAGCAGAAUAAAGGCUUUCCUGUGUCUUGCCCCCCCGCCCCGCUGCCCCGCAGCCCCUCCAGUUCGAAUAAUGAAGGGACACAGUCCAUGCACUCUGCAAGCAGCCGCCCCAUUGUACGCUUCAGGGGAGGCGACGGGGGGCCGGCGAGAGCUCCUUGCCCUUUCUCGUCUCCCCAAAUAAUCGCGCCGAAGUCUCCUGGUCAGUUAAAAGGUGAAACGAUAACACGAUUAAAAGAACCAAAAAAAAAAAAAAAAAGGAAGGAAAGAGGAAAAAAAAAGAAGGAAAGAAGGAAGCAAAAGAAUCAGUUUUCUCAUAUGAAUUCUAAAUGUUCCUACUCAUAGAGUACAAAGGCAGGCAGUCGAGGGCAGAGGAAGCAGGCAGAGAGGGAGACCGGGAGAAGGAAAAGAGAACUUGGAAAGAGACGGAGCGAGUGCAAGAGGCAGCGCGAAGCGAGCGCCAGGGAACCGGAGGCUCCCCCCGCCUGGACGCCCUGCUCUCGGGCCCGGCCGCCCUCGGACCCAGGACCGGAAGUCUUGGGCGCCAGAAGCCAGAGCCGGCCCAUCUCUGCCGUACCAGGCAAAUACAAGCUACUAUUCACCAGGGAGCUUUGGCAAGAGAAUGGCUGUAUCAGGAAGUCUAUCUUCACUGUGGAAAAUCAGCUUGAACCUCGUCUUUGUUGACAGUGAGUUAUAAACAGAUCCCAAGAUCAGAGACUGUUAGGACUGAUGCUCACCAAAGUCAGAAAAGACCUCCACUCUAGGGAGAAGAUCCUUAUACUAUAGGUACCUGUCUUUAUGUGAUUAUAACCAGCCUCAUCAUCUGUACUAAAUCUUUUAGUAAGAGGCAAUGAAAUUCAAAAAAGGAAUGACAUGGCACUGUAUUUGGAGAAAAGAUUUGACUGUAGUUUUCCUUUUCCUGAAAGAGGCUCCCAAUAGUCCUGUAGUGAUUGGACUCACCCUUCCCAUGCUCUAUUUUUCUUUCCUGGAAAUUUCAUAUAAAUCAAAUCACACAAUAUGUGGUCUCUUGUGUUGGUAUUCUUUGACUUAGAAUAAUACAUAUAUAUUUCCACACUGGACUGUUUGGUGUACUCAGAUCAUCUUGCCAAUAUCUGCUAAAAGACUGCUGAAAAUCUGGUAGCAAUUGAUAUAUGAAUCAACCUGGGGAGAAUUACUAUUCUGAACAUUAUUGAACUCUCCGCUCCAUGAACCUGGUAUCUGAGCUUCUUUAGAAGUUUACUUUCUCAAGACUCCUUUUGGAUUACAGAGAUCAUAUUCUUCCUGUAGACUCCUGUGGAGGAAUUUAAAAUGAGCUUGGAUCUGCACCUGGGGGUGGCAUGGAUUUCAAAGUCAUUAUUUAAGGUGUGCCGUCUGUAGGGUGGAGGUGGACCGAAGACCUGCCUCACCGGAUACUGGCUUCAAAUCACCUUUCAUAUUUUCUUGUUGGGAAGACAACUGUCGGAGAGUCUUCUUGUUAUCAUCAGCAAAAAAUGGAAACAGAUCAAGACAUUAAAAAUGCCACAGUGGCCAGCAGUUAAUGAUGCCAGAGUAAUGCAAGCUUUGGCAAAGGAAUUUUUCAAGACCGUGCGCUUCUCUAGCCAGGAAUCAGGAAAGGCUGAACUAUCCUUUUCGUCUCAGCUGUUUCUUAUAUCAAUGCAACCCCUCCAAAUUAAAGUGAAUUGAGACAUUCAUUGCCUUUUCAACUUAAUUGAGUGCUUACUAUGUGUGAAUCACUGUACAGAAUAGGGGAGGGAAAAUGAGGGAGGCAAAUAAGGUGUGGUCCCUACCUUGAAUGUAUUUACAAGAGACAGUUGUUUUUUUGGGGGGGGAGGUUGUUUCUGCUCCUAAGUGUGUCCCUAAAAUAGGAAGCAGUAUUGGAGUGGGUAGCCUUUCCCUUCUCCAGGGGAUCUUCCCAACCCAGGUCUCCCACAUUGCAGGCGGAUUCUCUACCAGCUGAGCCACAAGGGAAGCCCUAAAUUUCUUUAAUACAAAACAAAACUCUUAAUGUGGGUAACUCAGGGCAUCUUAAUUCCAUUUUUUUGGUCUUCUGAUAGUUAGGACCCAAUUUAUUGAUUUAAUAUACAUUCAGUAGGCUUUAGAAGUAUUAAUACAUUAUAGUUGGAGUAAAUUUGAAUAAAUCCUUCCCCUCUUAGGUGUAGACUGUAUAUGGGAGAAAUAUAUUGUGUUCAUACAUUUCUUGGGGAGCUGGGAGGUGAAUUAUACCUGUUGUCUCUAUAGGCCUCUGCCUCCCAUGCCCUCAGGGCCUGCCAUUCUGAGUGAGUUAUUAGCACAGAGAAGGGAAAGGUUUGGCUUAAACUUGUGGGUGCUGCUCAUGGACCCAAGACAGGGCAAGGAAUGUGCAAAACAGACCCAAGCAAAGGCUCUGUAUAAGAAUUCGGCCAUUUCAGUAUUCAUUGCGUUGUUGUCUGUAUUCCAUGAGUUGGAUGACUGUAUAAUUUUUCCAAAAUGUUAUUUCUGAUCUGGGAAUAAGUCAUGAUUUUUCCAGUGUUAAGAUGCUAAUAUGACUGUAGACACAAGUAGUGUCUGUGACACAUUUUAGUAUUUUUGAGCCAACAAUAGACAUGUCUUUGUCUUGAGUAAUGUCCACAUCUGAAUUGAAAAUGUGCCAGCUUUUUUUUCUUUAACAUCAUCAACAGACUUCUUAAUUAAGCUGCCAAUACGUGCCAUCAAUAGCAUUGUGUGCUGUGUGUCAAAUGAAUUGUGUAAGUGCUGUUUCUCUCUUAUUUAAUAAACAGUGUUGUUCCCUAUAAAA